rnacentral:rRNA from 1 species
GGGUUGUGAGGUUAAGCGACUAAGCGUACACGGUGGAUGCCCUGGCAGUCAGAGGCGAUGAAGGGCGUGCUAAUCUGCGAUAAGCGCCGGUAAGGUGAUAUGAACCGUUAUAACCGGCGAUACCCGAAUGGGGAAACCCAGUGUGACUCGUCACACUAUCAUUAACUGAAUCCAUAGGUUAAUGAGGCGAACCGGGGGAACUGAAACAUCUAAGUACCCCGAGGAAAAGAAAUCAACCGAGAUUCCCCCAGUAGCGGCGAGCGAACGGGGAGGAGCCCAGAGCCUGAAUCAGCAUGUGUGUUAGUGGAAGCGUCUGGAAAGGCGCGCGAUACAGGGUGACAGCCCCGUACACAAAAGCGCAUGUGCUGUGAGCUCGAUGAGUAGGGCGGGACACGUGGUAUCCUGUCUGAAUAUGGGGGGACCAUCCUCCAAGGCUAAAUACUCCUGACUGACCGAUAGUGAACCAGUACCGUGAGGGAAAGGCGAAAAGAACCCCGGCGAGGGGAGUGAAAAAGAACCUGAAACCGUGUACGUACAAGCAGUGGGAGCACNNNNNNNNNNNNNUGACUGCGUACCUUUUGUAUAAUGGGUCAGCGACUUAUAUUCUGUAGCAAGGUUAACCGAAUAGGGGAGCCGGAGGGAAACCGAGUCUUAAUUGGGCGUUAAGUUGCAGGGUAUAGACCCGAAACCCGGUGAUCUAGCCAUGGGCAGGUUGAAGGUUGGGUAACACUAACUGGAGGACCGAACCGACUAAUGUUGAAAAAUUAGCGGAUGACCUGUGGCUGGGGGUGAAAGGCCAAUCAAACCGGGAGAUAGCUGGUUCUCCCCGAAAGCUAUUUAGGUAGCGCCUCGUGAAUUCAUCUCCGGGGGUAGAGCACUGUUUCGGCUAGGGGGCCAUCCCGGCUUACCAACCCGAUGCAAACUGCGAAUACCGGAGAAUGUUAUCACGGGAGACACACGGCGGGUGCUAACGUCCGUCGUGAAGAGGGAAACAACCCAGACCGCCAGCUAAGGUCCCAAAGUCAUGGUUAAGUGGGAAACGAUGUGGGAAGGCCCAGACAGCCAGGAUGUUGGCUUAGAAGCAGCCAUCAUUUAAAGAAAGCGUAAUAGCUCACUGGUCGAGUCGGCCUGCGCGGAAGAUGUAACGGGGCUAAACCAUGCACCGAAGCUGCGGCAGCGACACUGUGUGUUGUUGGGUAGGGGAGCGUUCUGUAAGCCUGCGAAGGUGGCCUGUGAGGGUUGCUGGAGGUAUCAGAAGUGCGAAUGCUGACAUAAGUAACGAUAAAGCGGGUGAAAAGCCCGCUCGCCGGAAGACCAAGGGUUCCUGUCCAACGUUAAUCGGGGCAGGGUGAGUCGACCCCUAAGGCGAGGCCGAAAGGCGUAGUCGAUGGGAAACGGGUUAAUAUUCCCGUACUUGGUGUUACUGCGAAGGGGGGACGGAGAAGGCUAUGUUGGCCGGGCGACGGUUGUCCCGGUUUAAGCGUGUAGGUGUGUGUUCCAGGUAAAUCCGGUUCACUUUAACACUGAGGCGUGACGACGAGGCACUACGGUGCUGAAGCAACAAAUGCCCUGCUUCCAGGAAAAGCCUCUAAGCAUCAGGUAACAUCAAAUCGUACCCCAAACCGACACAGGUGGUCAGGUAGAGAAUACCAAGGCGCUUGAGAGAACUCGGGUGAAGGAACUAGGCAAAAUGGUGCCGUAACUUCGGGAGAAGGCACGCUGACACGUAGGUGAAGUGAUUUACUCAUGGAGCUGAAGUCAGUCGAAGAUACCAGCUGGCUGCAACUGUUUAUUAAAAACACAGCACUGUGCAAACACGAAAGUGGACGUAUACGGUGUGACGCCUGCCCGGUGCCGGAAGGUUAAUUGAUGGGGUCAGCGCAAGCGAAGCUCCUGAUCGAAGCCCCGGUAAACGGCGGCCGUAACUAUAACGGUCCUAAGGUAGCGAAAUUCCUUGUCGGGUAAGUUCCGACCUGCACGAAUGGCGUAAUGAUGGCCAGGCUGUCUCCACCCGAGACUCAGUGAAAUUGAACUCGCUGUGAAGAUGCAGUGUACCCGCGGCAAGACGGAAAGACCCCGUGAACCUUUACUAUAGCUUGACACUGAACAUUGAGCCUUGAUGUGUAGGAUAGGUGGGAGGCUUUGAAGUGUGGACGCCAGUCUGCAUGGAGCCGACCUUGAAAUACCACCCUUUAAUGUUUGAUGUUCUAACGUGGACCCGUUACCCGGGUUGCGGACAGUGUCUGGUGGGUAGUUUGACUGGGGCGGUCUCCUCCUAAAGAGUAACGGAGGAGCACGAAGGUUGGCUAAUCCUGGUCGGACAUCAGGAGGUUAGUGCAAUGGCAUAAGCCAGCUUGACUGCGAGCGUGACGGCGCGAGCAGGUGCGAAAGCAGGUCAUAGUGAUCCGGUGGUUCUGAAUGGAAGGGCCAUCGCUCAACGGAUAAAAGGUACUCCGGGGAUAACAGGCUGAUACCGCCCAAGAGUUCAUAUCGACGGCGGUGUUUGGCACCUCGAUGUCGGCUCAUCACAUCCUGGGGCUGAAGUAGGUCCCAAGGGUAUGGCUGUUCGCCAUUUAAAGUGGUACGCGAGCUGGGUUUAGAACGUCGUGAGACAGUUCGGUCCCUAUCUGCCGUGGGCGCUGGAGAACUGAGGGGGGCUGCUCCUAGUACGAGAGGACCGGAGUGGACGCAUCACUGGUGUUCGGGUUGUCAUGCCAAUGGCACUGCCCGGUAGCUAAAUGCGGAAGAGAUAAGUGCUGAAAGCAUCUAAGCACGAAACUUGCCCCGAGAUGAGUUCUCCCUGAGACUUAAAGUCUCCUGAAGGAACGUUGAAGACGACGACGUUGAUAGGCCGGGUGUGUAAGCGCAGCGAUGCGUUGAGCUAACCGGUACUAAUGAACCGUGAGGCUUAACCUUACAACGCCGAAG